AUUGAACGCUGGCGGUAUGCUUAACACAUGCAAGUCGAACGGUAGCAGGCCUUCGGGCGCUGACGAGUGGCGGACGGGUGAGUAACGCGUAGGAAUCUGCCUCAUAGUGGGGGACAACGUGGGGAAACUCACGCUAAUACCGCAUACGCCCUACGGGGAAAGCGGGGAUCUUCGGACCUCGCGCUAUGAGAUGAGCCUGCGUUAGAUUAGCUAGUUGGUAGGGUAAAGGCCUACCAAGGCGACGAUCUAUAGCUGGUCUGAGAGGACGAUCAGCCACACUGGGACUGAGACACGGCCCAGACUCCUACGGGAGGCAGCAGUGGGGAAUAUUGGACAAUGGGCGAAAGCCUGAUCCAGCAAUGCCGCGUGAGUGAUGAAGGCCUUAGGGUUGUAAAGCUCUUUUACCAGGGAUGAUAAUGACAGUACCUGGAGAAUAAGCUCCGGCUAACUCCGUGCCAGCAGCCGCGGU
rnacentral:rRNA from 1 species